UACGUAGGGUGCAGGCGUUAAUCGGAAUUACUGGGCGUAAAGCGUGCGCAGGCGGUCUUUUAAGUCAGAUGUGAAAGCCCUGGGCUCAACCUGGGAAUUGCAGUGGAUACUGGCAAGCUAGAGUGCGGUAGAGGAUGGUGGAAUUCCCGGUGUAGCGGUGAAAUGCGUAGAGAUCGGGAGGAACACCCGUGGCGAAGGCGGCCAUCUGGACCAGCACUGACGCUGAGGCACGAAAGCGUGGGGAGCAAACAGG
rnacentral:rRNA from 1 species